UGGUCUGAGAAGGUCUCCAUGCCCUUAAAGAGAAGGUGGAUUUUCUGCUGAGCCACCCGAGAAGCCCUUUUAUACCUCCUUACCCAGCCAGCUGUCUGCGGCUCGCCAGUCCGUCUUGUCCGGCCAGCAGCGCUCUGGUUUUCUCUUCCAGACUUGGGCUCACAACCAUCUAAAGCAAGAUGUCUGAGUAAG